CUGGACUCAGGAUGAACGCUAGCGGCAGGCUUAACACAUGCAAGUCGAGGGGCAUCGGGAGUAGCAAUACGUUGCCGGCGACCGGCGCAAGGGUGCGUAACGCGUGAGCAACGAUGCCCGUAUCAGGGGGAUAAUCCAUGGAAACGUGGUCUAAUACCCCCAUAGUAAUUAUGUAAGGCAUCUUAUAUAAUUUAAAGCUUUGGUGGAUACGGAUUGGCUCGCGUGACAUUAGCUAGAUGGUAAGGUAACGGCUUACCAUGGCUACGAUGUCUAGGGGUUCUGAGAGGAAGGCCCCCCACACUGGAACUGAGACACGGUCCAGACUCCUACGGGAGCAGCAGUGAGGAAUAUUGGACAAUGGAUGGAAAUCUGAUCCAGCCAUGCCGCGUAGCCAGGAAGACGGCCCUAUGGGUUGUAAACUGCUUUUGUAUGGGAGCAAUAAGGGCUACGCGUAGUCCGAUGAGAGUACCAUACGAAUAAGCACCGGCUAACUCCGUGCCAGCAGCCGC
rnacentral:rRNA from 1 species